ensembl:miRNA
UAUUAGGCUGGUGUAAAAGUAAUCACUUUUUUCCCCAUUACUUUCAAUGGCAAAAAUCUCAAUUACUUUUGCACCAACCUAAUA